GAUUUCUAUUCAUAUUAGUUAUUUUUUUAAAAAGUAUUAUACUUCAGUACAUACGAAGAACUCAUUCUCUAUGCAACAGAAAAAGGGGCGGUUGUUUUGAACAGGUAACUGAGUGUCAAAGGUAAUAGGUAUAGUAAUGUUACAAAUUUGGAAAUGCGUAUUAUUCCCUAAUUACCAAAUCUAACCAAGUCUGAACUACACAGUCUAAAUAGGCAGAAUAUUUUGGUUAUACACAUGUAAUUGAUAAUUGUUGCAAAAUCUAUUCAUCCAAUUUACCAACCAUAACCUGUAUAGAACCAUUGCGCAGCGUAAUGCAUUUUCAUUUGAAAGUACUAGCGAGAGUUUUAUAUCACUAAACUUUUUAAACGUUUUUUAAUUACUUGAAAUCACAUAUUUUAGUUAAACAUAUUCUGUUUGGAAAAGGCAGUUUUGUUGAAAAAAUUGUAUUUGAAAGACAACUUUAUAGAAGGAUAGUAAGAAAGUUAAUUCCUAAAUGGUCUAUAUUGAACCAAAAAUAGUUACAUUAAAAAACGAGAGUCAUUAAAAGAGCAGAUAAAUUUGACAUUAGAACCACUUUGGAACAUUAAUCGAAAUUUAAUCAAUCAUACAAACAAAAAAAUUACAAAGUGCUCGUUUAGGUCACUGAUCAAGAAGGGCGGACGGUAUAAAGUAAUUUGAAGUAAAAUCAAAAAUGUCAGCGAAUAAUUUAGAGGGAUCCUCCGUGGUUUCAGGUUCUGCAUCUUGCAUAGGCGGUUCAUUUGGGUGUAACAUACUGUUGAUGAAUCUUAAAACAUAUCCAAAUCGGACAGCCAUGCCAUCAUCAAAUGUUACGAUAUCAACCAUUCUUUCUUGUACAUAUAAUGUUAUGUCACCUAAGUCAGAAGGCACCUCAAAGCCUUUAUCACGGCAAAACGCAGCCAACAUGAGGGCGUGGAUAAUCUCCAACAACGCUACCAAAAGCCAGCCUCGUUUUUCUAAUAUAGUGAUUUGAGAUAUGAGUAGCCUCACGCACUGAAUACAACUUUCACCCAAAUUACCAAUAAUAGUUUCUUCAUCUUCUAAAAUCCCUGAAUCCAGGGUAAUAAAACAUUGAUACAAAUUCACACGUGCAGUCCAGAACACCAUUUUCAAAAAUAUGUAUCGAAAUUGAAUAUCUUCAUUAGAAGGGUCAUAAAACUUUGCUUCUAUAUCUACCAAAAUAAGCGAAAGCUGUGAUUCAUAACUCUCCAGUUUAUCAAUGAAUUUACUAACGGUGAGUGAAUGAACAGAUUUAUAGAUUGAAACACCACAAUCAAGUAACCUUCCAAGAAGUAGAUGAAAAUUGUAGCUAAUAUCGUCAUUAAAAAAACAACGAAGCGGCUUGAGACGACCAUAAGUGUCGUGUUGAAUGAAUGGCGGACGGUACUUUAAUACACAUUCCAAACCAUCAAUUUCACAGAGAGCAAACCACAAAUCUGACGUAUUUU